rnacentral:rRNA from 1 species
AGCGAACGCUGGCGGCGUGCCUAACACAUGCAAGUCGAACGUGAAAAGGGAAACCUGAGUAAAGUGGCGUACGGGUGAGUAACGCGUAGGUAAUCUACCCCAGAAUCUGGAAUAACCUGCCGAAAGGCGGGCUAAUACUGGAUAGAGCGAGGGAACUCGUAAGAGAGUUUUUCGGGAAAGGGAGCCCGCAAGGGCCUUCGUUCUGGGAUGAGCCUGCGUCUCAUUAGCUAGUUGGUAAGGUAACGGCUUACCAAGGCGAUGAUGAGUAGCUGGUCUGAGAGGAAGAUCAGCCACACUGGAACUGAAACACGGUCCAGACUCCUACGGGGGGCAGCAGUGGGGAAUCUUGCGCAAUGGACGAAAGUCUGACGCAGCCACGCCGCGUGAGUGAAGAAGGCCUUCGGGUUGUAAAGCUCUGUCGGAUGGGACGAACAUCUUCAUAGUGAAUAGCUAGGAGGACUGACGUUACCAACAAAGGAAGCACCGACUAACUCCGUG